GUUCAGGAGGAUUUUUUUCCAGCCAGACUUCUGGCUGAAGUCCAGCUCCUAGCUGGAUUUAGCCAAAGCCUGGCUGUAAUAACCCCAAA
rnacentral:pre_miRNA from 1 species